rnacentral:ncRNA from 1 species
ACGUUUCUAUAUUUGCAACAAUGUUUAAAAUAACUGUACAUACUUGGUGGUGGAAUAACUUACGUCAAACGUCGUGAGCUAGCUACUAGUUUGUAUAAUCUAAUAUAUAAAAAAGGCUUGUC